rnacentral:rRNA from 1 species
CCUACGGGUGGCAGCAGUGGGGAAUAUUGCGCAAUGGGCGCAAGCCUGACCCAGCGACGCCGCGUGAAGGAAGAAGGCUUUCGGGUUGUAAACUUCUUUUGUCAGGGACGAAGCAAGUGACGGUACCUGACGAAUAAGCCGCGGCUAACUACGUGCCAGCAGCCGCGGUAAUACGUAGGUGGCAAGCGUUAUCCGGAUUUAUUGGGUGUAAAGGGAGAGUAGGCGGGAAUGCAAGUCAGAUGUGAAAACUCUGGGCUCAACCCAUAGCCUGCAUUUGAAACUGUAUUUCUUGAGUGCUGGAGAGGCAAUCGGAAUUCCGUGUGUAGCGGUGAAAUGCGUAGAUAUACGGAGGAACACCAGUGGCGAAGGCGGAUUGCUGGACAGUAACUGACGCUGAGGCGCGAAAGCGUGGGGAGCAAACAGGAUUAGAUACCCUUGUAGUC